CGAAAGCCUGACGGAGCAACGCCGCGUGAGGGAAGAAGGUCUUUGGAUUGUAAACCUCUUUUCUCAAGGAAGAAGUCAGUGACGGUACUUGAGGAAUCAGCAUCGGCUAACUCCGUGCCAGCAGCCGCGGUAAUACGGAGGAGGCAAGCGUUAUCCGGAAUGAUUGGGCGUAAAGCGUCCGCAGGUGGCAAUGUAAGUCUGCUGUCAAAACCCAGGGCUCAACUCUGGUCAGGCAGUGGAAACUACAUAGCUAGAGUUCGGUAGGGGCAAAGGGAAUUCCCGGUGUAGCGGUGAAAUGCGUAGAGAUCGGGAAGAACAUCGGUGGCGAAAGCGCUUUGCUAGACCGAAACUGACACUCAGGGACGAAAGCUAGGGGAGCG
rnacentral:rRNA from 1 species